GAUGAACGCUGGCGGCGUGCCUAAUACAUGCAAGUAGAACGCUGAAGGAGGAGCUUGCUUCUCUGGAUGAGUUGCGAACGGGUGAGUAACGCGUAGGUAACCUGCCUGGUAGCGGGGGAUAACUAUUGGAAACGAUAGCUAAUACCGCAUAAGAGCAGUUGUUGCAUGACAGCUGUUUAAAAGGUGCAAUUGCACCACUACCAGAUGGACCUGCGUUGUAUUAGCUAGUUGGUGAGGUAACGGCUCACCAAGGCGACGAUACAUAGCCGACCUGAGAGGGUGAUCGGCCACACUGGGACUGAGACACGGCCCAGACUCCUACGGGAGGCAGCAGUAGGGAAUCUUCGGCAAUGGGGGCAACCCUGACCGAGCAACGCCGCGUGAGUGAAGAAGGUUUUCGGAUCGUAAAGCUCUGUUGUAAGAGAAGAACGAGUGUGAGAGUGGAAAGUUCACACUGUGACG
rnacentral:rRNA from 1 species